CUAACUUCUGGUUCUGAGGUUCGUUCAGUUGCCUCUCUUACUCCUCACAGGAAGCAAAACACAAUAUGAUCUCCUAGGCAGGGGACCUGCAAUUAAUUAUAUUUUGCGAGUGAGGUAAACCAUUGGAACUCUGGAAGUGGACUCCUCACCUGCUGUCUCUUGGCAAUUUCCAAAAUGUGGAGUGGAGCACUAGCCCACCCUACUCUCUAAGUGCUCCACCCCAGGGUCCAAACACACACUUAUAUAAAGUGCAAUAUUAGUUUUAACAUAACUCCCUGGGGCAAAUCUUCUGCAUUAC